rnacentral:rRNA from 2 species
CACCGCGGUUAUACGAGAGGCCCAAGUUGACAGACACCGGCGUAAAGCGUGGUUAAGGUAACCUACAACUAAAGCCGAACACCUUCAAGGCAGUUAUACGCAUUCGAAGGCACGAAGCCCCACUACGAAAGUGGCUUUACAACCCCUGACUCCACGAAAGCUAUGGUA